rnacentral:rRNA from 1 species
AACGAACGCUGGCGGCAGGCCUAACACAUGCAAGUAGAGCGAGGACUUCGGUCCUAGCGGCCGACGGGUGAGUAACGCGUGGGAACGUGCCCCUUGGUACGGAAUAGCCCCGGGAAACUGGGCGUAAUACCGUCUGCGCUCUACGGAGGAAAGAUUUAUCGCCAACGGAUCGGCCCGCGUUGGGUUAGGUAGUUGGUGGGGUAAUGGCCUACCAAGCCGACGAUCCAUAGCUGGUUUGGGAGGAUGAUCAGCCACACUGUGACUGAGACACGGCCCAGACUCCUACGGGAGGCAGCAGUGGGGAAUCUUAGACAAUGGGCGCAAGCCUGAUCUAGCCAUGCCGCGUGAGCGAUGAAGGCCUUAGGGUUGUAAAGCUCUUUCAGCUGGGAAGAUAAUGACUGUACCAGCAGAAGAAGCCCCGGCUAACUCCGUGUCAGCCGCCGCAGUAA